AGGACGAACGCUGGCGGCGUGCCUCAUACAUGCAAGUGGAGCGGCGAACCAGGAUUUAUCCUGGGGCAAAGCCGCGAACGGGUGAGUAACACGUGGGUUACCUGCCCCGAUGAUUGGGACAACCCGAGGAAAACUCGGGCUAAUACCAAAUGUGUUCUUGGUCGUGAUGACCAAGAAGAAAGGAAGCCUCGGCCUCCGCAUCGGGAUGGGCCCGCGGCCCAUUAGCUAGUUGGUGGGGUAAUGGCCUACCAAGGCGACGAUCGAUAGCUGGUCUGAGAGGAUGAUCAGCCACAUUGGGACUGAGACACGGCCCAAACUCCUACGGGAGGCAGCAGUGGGGAAUAUUGGACAAUGGGCGCAAGCCUGAUCCAGCCAUGCCGCGUGAGUGAUGACGGCCUUAGGGUUGUAAAGCUCUUUCACCCACGACGAUAAUGACGGUAGUGGGAGAAGAAGCCCGGCUAACUUCGUGCCAGCAGCCGC
rnacentral:rRNA from 1 species